CCAGGAUAUUGUGGUACAAGACCGAACUCUAAACUAAUAUUAAAAUAACUUUCGAUGAUGUCGAUUCUUCCAUUCCAUCAGUGAUGUACCAGAAACCAAUACCUCGAACGCUUCCUUAAAUUGUACCACAGAGCCAGCGAAUUUAUGGCCCCAACUAUUAAAUGUUCCAGCUCCGGGUGGCCACAGCCCACUUGUGGUUUAUGACGCAGCCUGGUGUUUUAAAAAAGCCGGCCAGAAUGGGACCGCAGUCCCUGGCCGCGUUUGCAAAAGGUUAGUCGUCCGACCAGCUCAGCACAUUAUAAAAAAUUCAAUUAUAAGCUUUUUAUAAUGUCAUGGGUUGCGUUCCACCUGGCUACGAUUUUCAUUUCGGUUUUUCGCUUUCAGUUUACACUUUUUCAUUGGCCGAACUGAACCGUGGUAAAACCGAUCCAUAGAAUAGGGGAAACUGAACUGAUAAGUUGCUCAAACAAAUCGCACAACGAAUACCGGUUACAAACAUUUCAGUCGCCUACUGAAAC
rnacentral:lncRNA from 1 species